CCUACGGGAGGCAGCAGUAGGGAAUCUUCCGCAAUGGACGAAAGUCUGACGGAGCAACGCCGCGUGAACGAUGAGGGCCUUCGGGUCGUAAAGUUCUGUUGUUAGGGAAGAACAAGUGCUAGUUGAAUAAGCUGGCACCUUGACGGUACCUAACCAGAAAGCCACGGCUAACUACGUGCCAGCAGCCGCGGUAAUACGUAGGUGGCAAGCGUUGUCCGGAAUUAUUGGGCGUAAAGCGCGCGCAGGCGGUUUCUUAAGUCUGAUGUGAAAGCCCCCGGCUCAACCGGGGAGGGUCAUUGGAAACUGGGAAACUUGAGUGCAGAAGAGGAAAGUGGAAUUCCAAGUGUAGCGGUGAAAUGCGUAGAGAUUUGGAGGAACACCAGUGGCGAAGGCGACUUUCUGGUCUGUAACUGACGCUGAGGCGCGAAAGCGUGGGGAGCAAACAGGAUUAGAUACCCUGGUAGUCCACGCUGUAAACGAUGAGUGCUAAGUGUUAGAGGGUUUCCGCCCUUUAGUGCUGAAGUUAACGCAUUAAGCACUCCGCCUGGGGAUACGGUCGCAAGACUGAAACUCAAAUGAAUUGACGG
rnacentral:rRNA from 1 species